rnacentral:rRNA from 1 species
GUAAUCGUAGGUCAGCAUACUACGGUGAAUACGUUCCCGGGCCUUGUACACACCGCCCGUCAAACCAUGAGAGUUGGCAACACCCGAAGUCGGUAGUCUAACCGCAAGGAGGACGCCGCCGAAGGUGGGGUUGAUGAUUAGGGUUAAGUCGUAACAAGGUAUC